UGAGUAACCUGCCCUUAACUCUGGGAUAAGCCUGGGAAACUGGGUCUAAUACCGGAUAUGACUCCUCAUCGCAUGGUGGGGGGUGGAAAGCUUUAUUGUGGUUUUGGAUGGACUCGCGGCCUAUCAGCUUGUUGGUGAGGUAAUGGCUCACCAAGGCGACGACGGGUAGCCGGCCUGAGAGGGUGACCGGCCACACGUGGGACUGAGACACGGCCCAGACUCCGUACGGGAGCAG
rnacentral:rRNA from 1 species